rnacentral:rRNA from 1 species
ACGAACGCUGGCGGCGUGCUUAACCCAUGCACGUCGAACGGAAAGGCCCUGCUUUUGUGGGGUGCUCGAGUGGCGAACGGGUGAGUAACACGUGAGUAACCUGCCCUUGACUUUGGGAUAACUUCAGGAAACUGGGGCUAAUACCGGAUAGGAGCUCCUGCUGCAUGGUGGGGGUUGGAAAGUUUCGGCGGUUGGGGAUGGACUCGCGGCUUAUCAGCUUGUUGGUGGGGUAGUGGCUUACCAAGGCUUUGACGGGUAGCCGGCCUGAGAGGGUAACCGGCCACAUUGGGACUGAGUUACGGCCCGGACUCCUACGGGAGGCAGCGGUGGGGAAUAUUGCACAAUGGGCGGAAGCCUGAUGCAGCAACGCCGGGUGCGGGAUGACGGCCUUCGGGUUGUAAACCGCUUUCGCCUGUGACGAAGCGUGAGUGACGGUAAUGGGUAAAGAAGCACCGGCUAACUACGUG